rnacentral:rRNA from 1 species
UACGUAGGGUGCGAGCGUUGUCCGGAAUUAUUGGGCGUAAAGGGCUCGUAGGCGGUUUGUCGCGUCGGGAGUGAAAACCUUGGGCUUAACUCAGGGCUUGCUUUCGAUACGGGCAGACUAGAGGUAUGCAGGGGAGAACGGAAUUCCUGGAGUAGCGGUGAAAUGCGCAGAUAUCAGGAGGAACACCGGUGGCGAAGGCGGUUCUCUGGGCAUGAUCUGACGCUGAGGAGCGAAAGUGUGGGGAGCAAACAGG